rnacentral:rRNA from 1 species
AACGAACGCUGGCGGCAGGCCUAACACAUGCAAGUCGAACGCCGUAGCAAUACGGAGUGGCAGACGGGUGAGUAACACGUGGGAACGUACCCUUCGGUUCGGAAUAACUCAGGGAAACUUGAGCUAAUACCGGAUACGUCCGAGAGGAGAAAGAUUUAUCGCCGAGGGAUCGGCCCGCGUCUGAUUAGCUUGUUGGUGAGGUAACGGCUCACCAAGGCGACGAUCAGUAGCUGGUCNGAGAGGAUGAUCAGCCACAUUGGGACUGAGACACGGCCCAAACUCCUACGGGAGGCAGCAGUGGGGAAUAUUGGACAAUGGGGGCAACCCUGAUCCAGCCAUGCCGCGUGAGUGACCUGAAGGCCUUAGGGUCGUAAAGCUCUUUCGGCGGGAAGAUAAUGACGGCACCCGCAGAAGAAG